rnacentral:piRNA from 1 species
UGGAUGUCACACACAUAUCUCAAUUUGG